UGGGCAUGGAACAACUACUUUGAUAUCUCAUAUCGAGUAGUUCGACCUUGUUCCCCAUAUAACUCCUUAAGAUUAAGGAGUAUAGAGGGAACAUCUAUAUCCUCAUACUGCCUCUGAAGCUUUUUGCUCAUGGAGGCAAGCAUGAUGCAUUUGACAGUCACACUAUCAUCUUUCCACAUCUUGUAUGUGGCUCUUUCCUCCUCGAAAGCAUCUUUUUCAGGAGAAUCUGGUGCAGGUAUAUUUAGAAUAUAGGAGACUUUUUCCUA
rnacentral:lncRNA from 1 species